GCACAAUCUACAGCAGUACUACGGCAGAAAUGCGGGAGGUAUCACUAAGUAUGGAGUCCUUAAUUCCAGAUAUCCAAGCAGGGAUCAAGUACUGGUUAAAAGGUUUAACAGGAAGGUGUUGAUGCCCAGAUGGAAGGACCAUAUGAUGUGCUGCUAAUAACCAACUGCAGUUAAAAUAAGAAGAAAACCUAAGAUUGUAUGCAAUACUACACACGGUGCUGACCUUAAUCCUCCAGUGUAGUAACACGUGGGCAUUAUUGACUGCUGAAACAAAAAGAAAGGUGAAC